rnacentral:antisense_RNA from 1 species
CUUCACCGACCCCAGCCACAGCGGCCGUUCACGGUCCUGCCCGUAGGCGGCCAGGAGUGCCUGUGCCUC